UACUUGGCCUGAUUAUUUACAUAAAAUGUAGCAAGAAUACUUAUUUUUCACUUAGGCUUUUUAAAUUGGCUUUGAUAGAACUCUGUUCCGUGAAGAAUCUCAGAUAAGAGUUUUUAAAAGCCGAGCCCAGCCAUGGGUUUGUACCCUCAAAUACCUAUGAGUUGGGCAAAUUCUUCUCUUCUUGAGGACGUAAGAUAAUGUGGGGUUUCUGAGCCUGUUAGAAAGUGACAUUCUUUACUGAAUCCUGCAUUUAAAGAGCACCUGAUAAAUUUUAUAGCUGAUUAUAAAACUGUCUUUUAAAGAGGACCGAAAGGAGACAAUAAUGGUCUGUGGAUAACAAAAACAUUUUAGGGUAGCCAGUUUAAGACACGAUGGACAAGGAAAUUCGUUACCUCUGUGGUACACAGUCUGUUAACAUAAUAAUUAUAAUUAUUACCGAUAACAUAGACUAAGUCAUAUUAGAAUUAUAGGAGUUUUACAUAAUUUUGGACCAUAUACCGACAACACAUUUGCACAAAUAUAGCCCAAUGAAAGCUAAGCACCAUUUCAUAUUUGACAAUGCUUCCUGUAUGAUUUUUGUACAAAAUAAAUGUUAUUUUUGGACUUUAGGUUAGAAAAAUAAUUUUUUAGGAGUUUAGGUUAGAAAAAAAUAUUUUGCUAACCUAAAAUAUUAGCUUAGAAAGAGACAUAAUUUAUAAUUUGAUUUUGGAAAGUCUGUCAAAUAUUAAAGGUUUGAAACACUAGAGAUCACAAAAUACAAUCCCUGGUCAUCGUAAGUCAUUCAUUUGGCCAAAAUGAUAACUCCAAAAUCUUAAAAGAAAAACCUUUACUUUGAUAGGAGACUUAGCUUUCCAAACGAGACCCAAGAAAGAUAGCAUGAGGCCAACUGGAUUUGUCUUUUCUCUCUCUUCCCUUUUGUUUCCCCUGCCAUUUAACCAAAGGAGAAAACAAAACCCUUUCGUUAUCUUUUAA
rnacentral:lncRNA from 1 species